rnacentral:rRNA from 2 species
UCGAGCGAACUGAUUAGAAGCUUGCUUCUAUGACGUUAGCGGCGGACGGGUGAGUAACACGUGGGCAACCUGCCUGUAAGACUGGGAUAACUUCGGGAAACCGAAGCUAAUACCGGAUAGGAUCUUCUCCUUCAUGGGAGAUGAUUGAAAGAUGGUUUCGGCUAUCACUUACAGAUGGGCCCGCGGUGCAUUAGCUAGUUGGUGAGGUAACGGCUCACCAAGGCAACGAUGCAUAGCCGACCUGAGAGGGUGAUCGGCCACACUGGGACUGAGACACGGCCCAGACUCCUACGGGAGGCAGCAGUAGGGAAUCUUCCGCAAUGGACGAAAGUCUGACGGAGCAACGCCGCGUGAGUGAUGAAGGCUUUCGGGUCGUAAAACUCUGUUGUUAGGGAAGAACAAGUACGAGAGUAACUGCUCGUACCUUGACGGUACCUAACCAGAAAGCCACGGCUAACUACGUGCCAGCAG